rnacentral:piRNA from 1 species
UUCUUAUUAACAGAAACUAUUAAGUGUCUU